GUGCCUAAUACAUGCAAGUCGAGCGAACAGAUAAGGAGCUUGCUCCUUUGACGUUAGCGGCGGACGGGUGAGUAACACGUGGGUAACCUACCUAUAAGACUGGGAUAACUUCGGGAAACCGGAGCUAAUACCGGAUAACAUUUGGAACCGCAUGGUUCUAAAGUGAAAGAUGGUUUUGCUAUCACUUAUAGAUGGACCCGCGCCGUAUUAGCUAGUUGGUAAGGUAACGGCUUACCAAGGCGACGAUACGUAGCCGACCUGAGAGGGUGAUCGGCCACACUGGAACUGAGACACGGUCCAGACUCCUACGGGAGGCAGCAGUAGGGAAUCUUCCGCAAUGGGCGAAAGCCUGACGGAGCAACGCCGCGUGAGUGAUGAAGGGUUUCGGCUCGUAAAACUCUGUUAUUAGGGAAGAACAAACGUGUAAGUAACUGUGCACGUCUUGACGGUACCUAAUCAGAAAGCCACGGCUAACUACGUGCCAGCAGCCGCGGUAAUACGUAGGUGGCAAGCGUUAUCCGGAAUUAUUGGGCGUAAAGCGCGCGUAGGCGGUUUCUUAAGUCUGAUGUGAAAGCCCACGGCUCAACCGUGGAGGGUCAUUGGAAACUGGGAAACUUGAGUGCAGAAGAGGAAAGUGGAAUUCCAUGUGUAGCGGUGAAAUGCGCAGAGAUAUGGAGGAACACCAGUGGCGAAGGCGACUUUCUGGUCUGUAACUGACGCUGAUGUGCGAAAGCGUGGGGAUCAAACAGGAUUAGAUACCCUGGUAGUCCACGCCGUAAACGAUGAGUGCUAAGUGUUAGGGGGUUUCCGCCCCUUAGUGCUGCAGCUAACGCAUUAAGCACUCCGC
rnacentral:rRNA from 1 species